CCUACGGGAGGCAGCAGUGAGGAAUAUUGGUCAAUGGACGAGAGUCUGAACCAGCCAAGUAGCGUGAAGGAUGACUGCCCUAUGGGUUCUAAACUUCUUUUAUAUGGGAAUAAAAUGUUCCACGUGUGGGAUUUUGUAUGUACCCUAUGAAUAAGGAUCGGCUAACUCCGUGCCAGCAGCCGCGGUAAUACGGAGGAUCCGAGCGUUAUCCGGAUUUAUUGGGUUUAAAGGGAGCGUAGGUGGAUUGUUAAGUCCGUUGUGAAAGUUUGCGGCUCAACCGUAAAAUUGCAGUUGAGACUGGCAGUCUUGAGUACAGUAGAGGUGGGCGGAAUUCGUGGUGUAGCGGUGAAAUGCUUAGAUAUCACGAAGAACUCCGAUUGCGAAGGCAGUUCACUGGACUGCAACUGACACUGAGGCUCGAAAGUGUGGGUAUCAAACAGGACUAGAUACCCUUGUAGUC
rnacentral:rRNA from 1 species